UCCCUCAUUAUUUAAGCUUCAUUCCUCAUCAAUUUCACUCUAUUAAUGGAAUGUGAUAGUAUGAAGAAAGCUUAUUGAUUCAUUUGCUAUUUAAUAUUUUACUUUGACAUUCAAUCCGAACAAUGCUUGGAUCCAUAGUCCAUACCCGACCUUCCAAAAUUUGAACAUGGAGUUGGACGUGAUGAUGCGCAUGGUAUGCCAAGUCUUUGCAAAGUCACCCGCCCCGAUUAACAAAGCACGCCACACUUAUGCUGCGAACGAGCACAUGCCGGCACGCCCACUUCCACACGCGCACAUGGGAGCCACUCGAUUUUUUCCUUUUUUUUUUUUUUUUAAACUCAUCGAUAAUCACCAAACCAGAAUCCAGCCC
rnacentral:lncRNA from 1 species